rnacentral:rRNA from 1 species
UGGGGAAUCUUGGACAAUGGGGGCAACCCUGACCCAGCGACGCCGCGUGGGUGACGAAGGCCUUCGGGUUGUAAAGCCCUUUCACCGGGGACGAGGGUGACGGUACCCGGGGAAGAAGCACCGGCUAACUCCGUGCCAGCAGCCGCGGUAAGACGGAGGGGGCGAGCGUUGUUCGGAAUCACUGGGCGUAAAGGGCGCGUAGGCGGCGCCGCAAGUCGGGCGUGAAAGCCCGGGGCUCAACCCCGGAGGUGCGCCCGAGACUGCUGCGCUGGAGGCCGGGAGAGGGGGGUGGAAUACCCAGUGGAGAGGUGAAAUUCGUAGAUAUUGGGUGGAACACCGGUGGCGAAAGCGGCCCCCUGGCCCGGGUACCUGACGCUGAGGCGCGAAAGCGUGGGGAGCAAACAGG